GACGAACGCUGGCGGCGUGCUUAAUACAUGCAAGUCGAACGGAAAGGCCCUGCUUUUGUGGGGUGCUCGAGUGGCGAACGGGUGAGUAAAACGUGAGUAACCUGCCCUUGACUUUGGGAUAACUUCAGGAAACUGGGGCUAAUACCGGAUAGGAGCUCCUGCUCCAUGGUGGGGGUUGGAAAGAUUCGGCGGUAGUGGAUGGUCUCGCGGCUUAUCAGCUUGUUGGUGAGGUAGUGGCUUACAAAGGCUUUGACGGAUAGCCGGCCUUGGAGGUUUAACGGGCACAAUGGUACUGAGAGACGGCGCAGAAGCGUACGGGAGGCAGCGGGGGAAAGUAUUGCACAAUGGGCGGGAGCCUGUGACGACAACCCCGCGUGCGGGAUGACGGCCUUCGGGGUGUAAACCGCUUUCGCCGGUGACGAGGCGUGAUUGACGGUAAUGGGUAAAAAAGCACCGGCUAACUACGUG
rnacentral:rRNA from 1 species